UCCCUGAUGAAGGACUACAAGGUAGAAUC
rnacentral:piRNA from 1 species